UCCCUGGUGGCUCAGUGGUAAAGAAUCCGCCUGCAAUGCAGGAGACUCAGGUUCGAUCCCUGGGUUGGGAA
rnacentral:tRNA from 1 species